rnacentral:rRNA from 1 species
UACGUAGGGUGCGAGCGUUGUCCGGAAUUAUUGGGCGUAAAGGGCUCGUAGGCGGUUUGUCGCGUCGGGAGUGAAAACCAGGUGCUUAACACCUGGCUUGCUUUCGAUACGGGCAGACUAGAGUGCUGUAGGGGAGACUGGAAUUCCUGGUGUAGCGGUGAAAUGCGCAGAUAUCAGGAGGAACACCGGUGGCGAAGGCGGGUCUCUGGGCAGCAACUGACGCUGGAGGAGCGAAAGCGUGGGGAGCGAACAGG